rnacentral:rRNA from 1 species
GAUGAACGCUAGCGGGAGGCUUAACACAUGCAAGUCGAGGGGCAGCACGAGGUAGCAAUACUUUGGUGGCGACCGGCGCACGGGUGAGUAACGCGUAUGCAACCUACCCUGUACAGGGGGAUAACCCGGAGAAAUUCGGACUAAUACCCCAUAAAGAUAUUUAGAGGCAUCUUUGAAUAUUUAAAGUUCCGGCGGUACGGGAUGGGCAUGCGUAACAUUAGCUAGUUGGUAAGGUAACGGCUUACCAAGGCAACGAUGUUUAGGGGUCCUGAGAGGGUGAUCCCCCCCACUGGUACUGAGACACGGACCAGACUCCUACGGGAGGCAGCAGUGAGGAAUAUUGGGCAAUGGGCGCAAGCCUGAACCAGCCAUCCCGCGUGAAGGAAGAAUGCGCUAUGCGUUGCAAACUUCUUUUCCAGGGGAAUAAAAUUUUGUACGUGUACGGAAUUGAAGGUACCCUGGGAAUAAGCAUCGGCUAACUCCGUGCCAGCCGCCCCAGUAAGAC